rnacentral:rRNA from 1 species
CUUCCCAUACGGGUUGAAGCAUGACCGUAAGGACAUGUGGACAGUAUGGGAGUGAGAAUGUUGGCAUGAGUAGCGAGAUGUGGGUGAGAAUCCCACAGGCCGUAAACCCAAGGUUUCCAGGGGAAGGUUCGUCCGCCCUGGGUUAGUCGGGACCUAAGCUGAGGCCGAAAGGCGUAGGUGAUGGACAACAGGUUGAUAUUCCUGUACUACCGAUAACCGUUUGAGAGAAGGGAUGACACAGUAGGAUAAGCUAAGCACACUGUUGGUUAUGUGUGCCCAAGCAUUGAGGCAGUCAAAGUAGGCAAAUCCGCUUUGAUAAUGCUGGGAUGUGAUGGGGAGCGAAAUUUAGUAGCGAAGUAGCUGAUUUCACACUGUCAAGAAAAGUCUCUAUCGAGGUUAAAGGUACCCGUACCGCAAACCGACACAGGUGGGUGAGGAGAGUAUCCUAAGGCCAGCGAGAGAACUGUUGUUAAGGAACUCGGCAAAAUGACCCCGUAACUUAGGGAUAAGGGGUGCCACCAUCAGGUGGCCGCAGAGAAUAGGCCCAAGCGACUGUUUACCAAAAACAUAGGUUUCUGCUAAGUCGCAAGACGAUGUAUAGGAGCUGACGCCUGCCCGGUGCUGGAAGGUUAAGGGGAUCUGUUAGAGCAAUCGAAGCAGUGAACUUAAGCCCCAGUAAACGGCGGCCGUAACUAUAACGGUCCUAAGGUAGCGAAAUUCCUUGUCGGGUAAGUUCCGACCCGCACGAAAGGCGUAACGAUUUGGGCACUGUCUCAACAACAGACUCGGUGAAAUUGUAAUUCCGGUGAAGAUGCCGGAUACCUGCGACAGGACGGAAAGACCCCAUGGAGCUUUACUGUAGCUUGACAUUGGGUCUUGGUACUACAUGUACAGGAUAGGUGGGAGGCUUUGAAACCAGGACGCCAGUUUUGGCGGAGCCAUCCUUGGGAUACCACCCUUGUAGUACUGGGACUCUAACCAUAGGCCAUGAAUCUGGUCUUGGGACACUGUCAGGUGGGCAGUUUGACUGGGGCGGUCGCCUCCCAAAAGGUAACGGAGGCGCUCAAAGGUUCUCUCAGUACGGUCGGAAAUCGUACG